AGUGGCAGAAAGGCUUGUGAAGGACAGAACUUUCCUUCUGGAGUCGGAGGAGAGGGCAAGUACAACAGAAAAUUGAGAAAGGGAGAUGUAGAAGAUUAAAAACAAGAUGCCAGAAAAUACACUCUAGAAAAACAACACAGAAUUAUGGUUUUAAACUUUCUAUUUCUGUGCUGACUCUGGUACUUUCUCCUCUAUGCCCAGCUGCACGUACCCCGGGGUCAGCUCCCCAGGCAGCAGCUUCCCACGACCAGGAGAGACCAAAGCUUCAAGCACACGAGACUCAAGACGAACACUGCAGCAAAUUCAUACAUUGUAGCUAAUCCCCCAAAACAAGUGACUUCGGGUUUGAGGAACUGAUCAUCCACGGGAGUCGAAUCUAACUGUUGAAGAGUUCGGGAGUUCCGCCGGCGCUGGGACUCGGAGGCAGCCCAGCCAUGCGCACACACCCCAGCAGCACAGCGCCGCGUCCAGCCUUCUAUUCCUAGGGCUUGCGAGCGUCAUGUCUAAACUGAGAGCCGAACGCACCGCCGACACGCCGCCCGAAUCGCUUCUGAGCUACCAAACGGUGAGCGCUGCCCGAACCGAGCCCGUGAACAGAGUCCUGGAAGCCGGGACCGUUACACCGGGCUUUUCCGCAGGGUGUCCGAUCUGUCCGGCGAACGACACUGAUAAGGAGCAGAGCCGCCUUCCACUGCCGGAUCUCGGUAUCCCAACAUACAGAUGAAGGAAACAACGUGCAAGAGUGACAUCCUACACACUGAGCAAAGCAUAACAUGCCUGUGCCACAGAGUAAGCCUGGGAUGGAAAGCCUCAUCUCCUACUCACCCUGUAAAGAAAAUCAAUACAUUCUAAAACUUAAAAACCCCAGAAAAAAAUCAUAUUUUUAUAGGUUUUAUGUUCAGCUCUUAAAAAAUGAUGACCUCUUAAAAAUUAGGAGCUCAGUGCUGCUCUGUGGUUCAGCUCAUAGGGGUCAUUCAACUCUUUGGAUGACACUUAGCAAAUUUGGUACCUGUCCAAGGCAGGAAAAGCCAAAGGCCCCUCUGGAAAGAUGCCACUAGAGGGAGACUGACUUCAGCGAUGAGCACCGCAGGGAGAAACCCUGAACACCGGCUGAGAAAACACCGGAUUCCGAUGAUUCCCUAACGCUCAGGUCAAAACUACACUUUGUGUUUCUUGUUCACAAGGAAAAGUGGCUGAAACUAAUGGGUCAAGUUUGGCUUCGUUACUGUAAACCGAGGGAGUAUGGUGUAAAUGGGAUCAGGCAGACACAUACUCUUCUACUGUUUAUAAGAGAGGUUAGGUCGACUAUUAAAAAACAAAACAAAACAAAACACACCAAAAAAAUACCCCAGCCAGUGAAAAUACUAAUAGCUGUAUCCUAGCAACGUCACGGAUUCCAUGUGGACUUUGUUCUGGAGUCUACAGUCUUAUUUCAUCCAAAUUAUUGACUUUCUCAAAGUCUCUAAACGACCAUCAAAAAACAGUUAGUGCUUAAAAAAUACAAACAUUUAAUUAGUCACAUUAAUAAGAGGAAAAAGGGAUAAAAGCAGGGAAAAAAAGAGACAAGAAUCUGCUAAGUGCUGCCUUUUCAUGGAGCUCACUUGAGCUCCCUUGGAAAUCGAUGUCAAAAUGCCCACUUUAUUUAGCAGAGUUGGGUCCCUCCUUUGAGAAGAAAAGCUGGAAAUAACCCUGCAGAGCCUGGCAGAUGAGGUUUGUUUCCCAGCCUGGGCUUAUGCAUUGCAUGGAUGAAAUUCAUGCAGCUCACCACCAUCCUCCCAGUCACCGUGUCCUUAAUGGAAAGGUCACCAAAAAAAAAAGUGAAAUCCUGUUGGAUCUUCCCAAACGUCCACACUCUGCAUCUCUCAGGUAUGAAGACUUCAAGCCUGAGCCAGCUUCAGGAGGUUUUCCCUCAUCAGCCUUGCAUCACUGUACUGAACUUUAAGAUACAAGAGCAAAAAGAUAAAUGAAUAAAAAAUUGAAACCACCCAAUCCUCCCAAAGAAAAACCUUUUUACAUAAAAGGAACAACUAAAAAACCCAACCAACCCCAAACAAAUAAGCUGUUUGUUAUCCCUAACAGCUUGCAUGAUGAUCCAAGGAAUCCUGGGGCAUUUUAGCAUUUAGCUUACAGUUCAGGCAGACUCAGAUUUUGGUCACAAUUUUCACUCAGCUCCAA